ACUUUAUCUCUUGAGCCGGAGUAACAUUACGGUCUUUUUUACACAGUCCUUCGUACUCUGGGCCACAAAGUCCAUCUCACAGCUCGGCCCAAUUUUCACCAAAAAUUACCCUCUCAUCGGUGUUGAACUCUAGUAUCUCGUUAUCAUUUCAUAUUAUCAUUCUCACUCUUGAUUCAUGAAUGUAUGUUAAUGGUGAAAAUGAACAUACCUCUUUUUUUGGGUGGGUAACAGGAACAUACCUCGUUAGUAACAAAUUCACUUUUGUAGUCAACAACAUAAUUAGUUUUAACAUUGCUACAUUGGGUGGGUAUAAAAUUCUGUAAAAAAUUUAACAAAUUCAUCCAAUUAAUCAUGUUCAAGAAUUCAGAAUUGAACAAACUUAGUGUGUUCAAAAAUUUAUAUUUGAAUAACGAAUAAAAGUUUAAUUUAUUUUAAUCGAACUAACUUAAAAUUUUCAAUUUUUUAUGUAUGAACAUGUAAUAUGUGAUCAAUGUUAAUAAUUUGAACAAAAUUGUUUUGUUUAAAUAUAAAUAAUCGAACAUUGUGUAAAAGUUCAACUUUGUUAUCUGAACACGAUGAACAAACUCAUCUUUCCAACAUAUGAACGAGAUAAAUAAAAAAUCAAAAAGUUAAGCCAUAAACUAACGUUUUGAAUGGUUUGAUUUUGUUUCUGUUUUUUUGUUUUCAAAUUAUUACCUCUUCUACAAUUUGUUGCUGAUUUACUUGUGUAUAUAUGUGUGUGUGUGUGUCUGGAAAACUUUUAUUUAUGAUGGACAUCACUCUUUAGCAAGUUUGGCCCCUCUCUCUCUAUAUGUAUGUGUGUAUUCUUUUUCAGUUUGAUCAUUGUUAUUGCCUCUAUCAGGUAAAGCUUGACAAACGCCUAUUUUUUUGAAUUAAAUUGUUGGUCAUAGAUUUCAAAGCAUUAAUUGUUGACUAUGACUUUUCUAUUUUGACUUUUUAUUUGCCAAUUUUGUUUUGGUUUAUUAUUUUAAGGUUUGUUAAAUGGUGUUUAAAAGACAGAUGGCAAAAAUUUAUAGAUUGGAGCUUCUAAGGUAUAUUUAUUUUUCUAAAAACUUUUUUUUUGGGGGUUAAUAUGUUAAUGCCUUCUGUUUGGAAAGAAAAAAAAAAAUACUUGUAUUGGUUGGUUGGUUCCUAAUGUUGCAGGUCAUAUUGUCUAUUUGAAUAUCACAUACGAACUGCUUCCUUACAGUUAUCAAUACUUUGUUAGAAUAAUGAGGAGUGGGAAGGUAGAAAUACAAAAUUAGAAACAGAAUGAGUUAAGCAAAAAGGAAGUCUCGUUCGAUAUGGAUUUUUGACAUCAGUUAGUUCAGUUCAUGGGUCUUUGUUGCAAGUGGUGUCUUGAUAUGACUGGAUGACAAGUGGUGUCUUGAUAUGAGCUGCAUCAUGUGGAUAACAAACAUUAGUGGCAUAGUAGAUUGUCCACAAAUGUUGAGCUCAAAACUUGUAUUCUUAGUAGUGAACAAACAAUAUUGAAUUUUAGAUGUUAAGUUGAGUGAGUUUGUGGCUUGGGAUCAGUUUGAGGGAAUAUUUGAAUUCAAUAGAGUUAAUAAUAAAUUGUGAUUAAUUUGGUUUGGGUUAGAUUUUUGCAUCUUU